rnacentral:lncRNA from 1 species
CAGAUCCUAUACGUGCAUCUGUAGGUUUUGACGAAAGCAUGUUGCAGGGGAUGUCGUCUAUCACACCAGUACGAAGUUGAACGAGAGAUGUUCCAAAACUUCAAAAAAAUUGGAACGAUUUGAGAAGGUAAUACCUGGAAAAAAAAACCACGAAAUCAAUUGUGCUGUGAACACUCACGGGAUCAAUAAUAAAAAAAUACCCUUGAUCCAUAUUCAUGAAAUUGUUAUUUUCAGUGUCUGUAGGUCUAAUGACACCAUAAUCCUGUAAAAAAGUGGUUGAAAGGGAAUGAGGAGAAACGCAUAUCAGGGUCAGUAAUACAUGAAUUUUGAAGGAAUGAUAUUGGAUUACAAUAAAAC